AUUGAGAAUAACUAUAAUGUAAUUAAACAUUACCUCCUUUACAAAAUUGUACAUUUGAAAUAACAAUAUAAAACAAAGAAUAUGAAAUUAAUGAGUUUAAUAUUUGGUUAAAUAUUAGAGACAACAAUAACAAUUCAGGGUGUAGGGUAAUCAAAACCAGUCAUACAAGGUUAUCAAAUGGUGUUCAGUAAGGAAGGUAGCAGAAAAUUCUGAUUUUACAUGAUCUGACAAGUGUUACAAAUAUUUGAUAUACUGGAAAUAGGGUGUACUGUGAUUUGAAACGAUGAUAGUCCGUCGGAAGGGGACGAUAAAUAACUGUGUUAAGAGAGAGCAAUAUCUCUUGCACGUAAAAGACACCCUUGUAGAUUUCGAAAAAAAAAGCAGGCUUAUGCCGCUACAAGGCAGCACUCACACACACAAAGUGGAAAGAGAUUAUAUAAGUUGCAAUAACUUUUUUUCCCAAUCCACUAUAAAUAAAUAUGUUUUAACUAAAACUUUCUUUGGAUUAAAUAGUCAGAAAAAUAUUCUGCAAUUUAAACAAACUCAUUUACAGUGUAAUCAAAUAAAACACUGCUUUAAUUGGUAUAUAAACAUUAAAUGUAUAAGCAGACACAAAAUAAAUCUAAUAAUUUGAUUUUUUGGGACUUUUAUGUUGAAGUAUUUGGCAACAGAAUGAACAGUUAUGUUAAUCUUCACAAAUUCUGAGGAUGAGAUACACACACAUAACUACAUGUAUCUGAAUGACGAUGAAAUACAUAUACCAUUAACAAUAAAACAUAAACGGUUCCCUAUUAUUACAUUACUUAACCCAACUCAAGAUUUCAUUAUAUCUUAAAAGCAACUACAACCCUAAAAGAACAAUGGCAAUGCAUAUCUAAAAUAAUCUUGUUAACAUUGAAUUAAUAUUAAAAUAAAUUAUUUAGUACAAAAAGUAAAACUUGAUUAGUCAUUUUAUGAUGGUU
rnacentral:lncRNA from 1 species